rnacentral:rRNA from 1 species
GGGAGGAAGGUGGGGACGACGUCAGGUCAGUAUGGCCCUUACGCCUAAGGCUGCACACGUACUACAAUGCCCAGUACAAUUAGAACCGAUACCGCGAGGUGGAGGAAAUCUGUAAAACUGGGCCCAGUUCGGAUUGGAGGCUGCAACUCGCCUCCAUGAAGUUGGAAUCGCUAGUAAUGGGGCAUCAUCUACGGCCCCGUGAAUACGUUCCCGGGUCUUGUACACACCGCCCGU